AUAUAUCUUAAGUUUUCAGUUUCGACCACUUUUGGUCACCGAAAGCUCUACCAAACUAAAAUCUCUAGUAUAUAGCAGUCGGAUUUUAUUUUUCACUUUUCUGGUGUCAGAAUGACAUGAAACUUUAAAUCUAGCCUCAUAAAAAUAAUCCUGACAUAUUUUCAGAUUUUCAUAAUUUUCUGACACUGUGCAUUUUCUGCUAAAAUAUCAGUCCCGUUCCUUACAGAAAAUUCUAAAUCUUCUGUUUUCAUUCUGAUUUUAGCACGAGUCACUUCCGACUCAUAUGUUACUUCUUUAAGUCCAAUAAAAAUAGUAUCUCACACUAUUUUUAUUUACACUUAAUUUUAUAUUAAAAUCUGGUACAUUACUUUCUCUCCUUCUUAAAAGAGUUUCGUCCUCGAAACUUCAAUCACACUUCAACUCGACCUAUCGAGCCAUUGA
rnacentral:lncRNA from 1 species